UGCAGCAGUACGCAAAUCAUUUACCGUGUGUUUUUCAUACUAUAAGACAAGACGGAUAAUAAGGUGUACUCUUAAUGAGAUCUAUCUAUCUAUAAUGGUCUAUUUUCUUACACAAGGCGCACCGGAUUAUGAGACGCAUUAAGCGACACUAGUAAGGAUGCCUACAUCAAAGUGAAGCAAGGGUAUCGUCAUGUUUCCCUUCUAAUGGUAUGUAAGAUCAUGAGAUGACAGCAUCUUCUCCGGUUUGCUGGAGUGAAGAGCAGCCCAGGCAUCCCACCUAUCACACUAAGAGUGAGACUCCAUCCAGCGCUGGAUUUACUCUGGAUUGGCGUCCCACCUCAGUCUGUUCGAGAGAUGAAAGAUGUCCAAAUAUAACCCCGGCACUGAUUGCUGACCUUUCCAGUGGAACAGCACGCUGGUGGGUGGGUGUGGAUGUCUGGUAUGCAGGGCUGUGAUAGCUGAAGGAGCAGGUUGAAGAGGAGAACGAGGAGGUAACCUUCAAACCUUCAUCCUGUGAGGGGGCCAAAGAUGGACACCCUCUAAAAUAGCUCUAAUGAGGCUAGCUUUGCAAAGAGAGAGAAACAUAGAGACAGAACAUAAACCCCCCUAUACACCAAAGUAUACCUGCAAUAUAAAACUGAAAUCAUGUGUUCAUAAUAAGAUUUAUUGAAACCGGCAAAGGAGUGUGUUACAAGUGGUGUGACAAUAUCUGGUGAAAUGGUGUGAAGUUUGUUGGAUUUACCCAAUUAGAGGUGUGGUGUUGAUUAUGUUACGAGUAUGUCAGUGGUGUAGCAGUGUGGAAAGUGUUAAAAGUCAGUGGUGUGACAGGUGUUUGGAGUGUGUGUUAUGGGUCAUUGGAGUGACAUUGUGGGGUGUGUUACAUGUUAGUGGUGUAACAGUGUUGAAUGUGUUGGAGGUCAAUGGUGUAACAGUGGUGUAAUAACCUGAAGUGUGUUAGUCACUGGUUCUACAGCAGGAAAUUUGUUAUAGGUCAAUAGUGGCAGUUUAAAAGCUGUUUUAAGUCAGCAGAGUAACAGAAUGGAUUGUUACAGUAUGGAGGUUGUUACAUUUACACAUAGAUCGGUGGUUGAACAGUGUUACAAGUCAGUGGUGUAACACUGUAAAGUGUGUUAA
rnacentral:lncRNA from 1 species